AACGAACGCUGGCGGCAUGCCUAACACAUGCCAGUCGAACGAGACCUUCGGGUCUAGUGGCGCACGGGUGCGUAACGCGUGGGAACCUUCCCUUAGGUUCGGACUAACUCCCCGAAAGGGGUGCUAAUACCGGAUAAUGUCUUCGGACCAAAGAUUUAUCGCCUUUGGAUGGGCCCGCGUUGGAUUAGCUAGUUGGUAGGGUAAAAGCCUACCAAGGCGACGAUCCAUAGCUGGUCUGAGAGGAUGAUCAGCCACACUGGGACUGAGACACGGCCCAGACUCCUACGGGAGGCAGCAGUGGGGAAUAUUGGACAAUGGGCGAAAGCCUGAUCCAGCAAUGCCGCGUGAGUGAUGAAGGCCUUAGGGUUGUAAAGCUCUUUUAACCGGGAUGAUAAUGACAGUACCGGGAGAAUAAGCUCCGGCUAACUCCGUG
rnacentral:rRNA from 1 species